GGUGGUGGAAGCGGUGUAGUUGGAGGUGAAGGCGGUUUAACCGUUGGUGCCGGCUGAGGAGGUGCUGACAGUUUGCCCACAGGAGCUACCGGGUGGAGCGGUUGAGUCUUAAAAGCAAAACUAGGAAAAAAAAAGUUGUUAGAAGAUGAGAACAAGAGACUUACAGGUACGAGUGAGAAGAUUAACGUGAACAAGACGGAGAAGAAUAAGAGAAGGGAGUUUGAGCUAGACAUUGUUGAAGUUCGAAGAUUUGCUUGAAGCCCCUCACUUAGAGAUAAAUUUGUUUAUUGAUGGUCUAUAAAUAGAACUUGAAGUGAGUGGCAUAGUGCAACGUAAUUUUAACCACCGCCAUUUGUCCCAUUCCGUAAAUUUUACACAACCCGACGUGUUCAAUCUGGAGGAUUCCACACUUCCAAUUUAAAAAUGUUAUAUGCAUUCCAUAUUAUAGAUUUGUUAUUCGAAUGUUGAAUCUAGAGGGUUCGAUCAGUGGUAUUACAUUUAUACAGACAGACACACUUACUCUAAAACGGUAGAACCGUAGGGGAAAUCGUUUUGAUCAAAAUAGCAAACUGUCAAUUUCUUAUAGUUGUGUUUGAUAAAAUAUAUAGACGGGGAUCAUAGUAUAUAAGAUAUUGACUAGAACACCUAUCUUAUGUAAAAAUAUAGCACCUCAAAUAUGUAACAGCAAAUAUGAAAAUGUGAAUAGUUAUUAGCCUAAUUAAAUCCUCUAAUAUGGUCUCUUGUUCUUAACCUAGUUAAAUGAUAUGUGUAUUGCCUGGUUGAUAAACGUAGGAUUAUAUCAAAUUUACUGAAUAGUGGAACAUUAUACAAAGUCUAGUGUUAUAAACUUAAAACCAACUUAUUGCAGGUUUUACCAAUCGGCUUAGUAAUACUUUCUUGGGAACUCUUUAGCAUCACGGGUGAACUUUUUCAAACAUAUCAUGGUAUACAUGUUUAGCAAACCCCAUUGGCUCAUCUCUUAGUUUGAUCAUUAGCAGAAUCUAAUCACUCUUUCUACAUAUCAUCCGAUCGGUAUGUUUUUAACAGUUAGGCCAAGAUCAUUUAAGAAAUUAAUCGUUUCAUUCAUUUAUCUGAAACUGGACAUUAUAAGUUUCUGAAAAUUAUGUAUAAAACCCACAUUUAAGAAAGGUAAAAGAAUAAAAAAACAAGCAAAAAAGUAAGCGAAUAUAAACUGGUUUAUCCCCCUUCUUCUCUGUCCUUACUUUGUGUGUGUCUAGUUGAUCUGUUCUCCGAUCAAAUCCAACCCUACAACCAAGAAAGACAACCCCU